UACGUAGGGGGCAAGCGUUGUCCGGAUUUAUUGGGCGUAAAGAGCUCGUAGGUGGUUCGGUAAGUCGGAUGUGAAAUCUCCAGGCUCAACCUGGAGGGGUCAUUCGAUACUGCCGUGACUAGAGGUCGGUAGGGGAGUGUGGAAUUCCUGGUGGAGCGGUGAAAUGCGCAGAUAUCAGGAGGAACACCCGUAGCGAAGGCGGCACUCUGGGCCGAUACUGACGCUGAGGAGCGAAAGCGUGGGGAGCGAACAGG
rnacentral:rRNA from 1 species